AGACCCGAAACCCGGUGAUCUAGCCAUGGGCAGGUUGAAGGUUGGGUAACACUAACUGGAGGACCGAACCGACUAAUGUUGAAAAAUUAGCGGAUGACCUGUGGCUGGGGGUGAAAGGCCAAUCAAACCGGGAGAUAGCUGGUUCUCCCCGAAAGCUAUUUAGGUAGCGCCUCGUGAAUUCAUCUCCGGGGGUAGAGCACUGUUUCGGCUAGGGGGCCAUCCCGGCUUACCAACCCGAUGCAAACUGCGAAUACCGGAGAAUGUUAUCACGGGAGACACACGGCGGGUGCUAACGUCCGUCGUGAAGAGGGAAACAACCCAGACCGCCAGCUAAGGUCCCAAAGUCAUGGUUAAGUGGGAAACGAUGUGGGAAGGCCCAGACAGCCAGGAUGUUGGCUUAGAAGCAGCCAUCAUUUAAAGAAAGCGUAAUAGCUCACUGGUCGAGUCGGCCUGCGCGGAAGAUGUAACGGGGCUAAACCAUGCACCGAAGCUGCGGCAGCGAACGUAUCACCCAAGACAACUUUACGGAGUUGACGAUUGACGGAGCGAAGCGACGUCAAAGCGUUCAUUAAAGU
rnacentral:rRNA from 4 species